rnacentral:tRNA from 1 species
AAGAAAAUGACAGAGUGGUCAUGUGAUUGGCUUGAAACCAGUUGAUGGGGGAUCGAUACCCUCUUUUCUCG